GAAGACACUUGCUGUCUUCUACCAUCGGUGCAAAGAGGACAUUGUGUAUCUAGAUGCAACUGGAAGUGUGAUUCAAAAGGAAAGGCGGGAAGUCCACCGUUUUACGUGUAUGAGCUGGUAGUUAGGAAUCCUUCAAAGGGGGCAUCACCGCUGCCUGUAGCUACAUAUGUGACAUGUGACCACACGACAGCAUCCGUCAAUUAUUUUUUUGCAAGCGUUCCAGACAGACGUCAUGAGGUUUUAUGGAAAGACGGCCACGAUGAGGCCAGUCAUGUUUAUUUGUGAUGGUUCUAUGGUUCUUCUCCACCCCCUUUCAUUAACAUUUUGUAGGUCUGGUUUGGAGGAUCUACUACAAAAUACUUCAUCUUGGCAACUGGACAGCAUCCCACUGACAGGUUUCAGCUGCCAAUUAUUCACAGAUGUCUCAGCCACAUUAUGAAAAAUGCAAAGGAUCUUUGCAAGAAAACAUAAGUGCAUCUAUAAUAACAUUUAUUUAUUUAUUAUAACAUAAUAAUAAAAGCAGUUACACUGAUCACAAUAUUUAUAUAUAUGUAUACCUUUGCAGAAUUCCAAAGCACUACAAGCUUGGCAUGCACCUUUUUGGACUCCUAGCAUGUUCUUCCACUCUCAAAGACAUGUAUGAGAUUCUUUAAAGUGCCACAGUUGUCUUCUGCAGCCCUUUCACGGGAGAUAAUGUGAAAAAGCACUUCAACAGCCUUCAAGUGCUAAUGAGAGAAAGAGGAACCAUUGAUGUGGAUUUCAAAAUGAAACCUGAAGCAUGAGAUGGGAAACACACCACUGAAGGAAUAUUUUCAGGAGGCAAUUUCCAAGGCACCACUUGACUUGGAUGGUGAAGAUAAUGUUUAUCAUGCGCCAGGAUUUAUUUCAUUUUGGCCAAAUACUUCCUUCCACAUGCCACCCUGUGGUCUGGUAUGAUGCUUGGAAAUCUUGGUCGUCAUGGGACAGGGCCAGCAUAUCAGCAUCUGAAUAAGCUUAUAAUGAUGUCCGACAAUCCAAGAAACAGAACUUCACAGACAACAACAGGACACAGGGCAUUAUGGAAAAAGUCAGUGGGACCUGAAGAGAAUAAGGUUUCAGAGACGACGAUUCACCAGACUGGAUGACUUUGUGACCAAAUACCAAAAAGUGCAUGACGCAUUGCUCCUGGAAUAUGCGGACACAGAAAGAUCCAGAAAGAAAAAAUCCUUCAACGUGGAUGAGGAGAAAUGGAAGGCGCGAAGUCUGAAACAUAAAGGAGUAUAUGUUUCAUCCCUUUUGACUGGCCUGCCAAUGAAAAAACAGAAACAGAGAAAGGCUACUGCUGAAGACAUCGGUAUUGGAACUGAACAGAAGCAGAAAAUGUCAACUCAGUUAAACCAAGAGAACAAAGACGACAUGGAAACUGAUACUCAAUCUACAUGCAACAUGACAGAGCAUGAGGCAGAGGGCCAACAGACACCUUCCAGUAGCAGUAAACCAGAUACUCCAACACAGGUCAUGCAAUGGAGAGCUCGAUGUUGUCAAUACAGAGUACACUGAAAUGUAUUUCAUGUGUAUUGAAAAGUGAACUGCUCUACAAUCAGUUAUUGCCUGCUAUUUGUUAACAUCUAUUUCCAUUUGCUUCUGACAAAGUUAAGUGUUUGUUGCUUUAAAUAUUAAUAGAGCCAAAUUAGUAGUAGAGAACCACUGGAGCGGCAAGUCGUUGAGCAUUUUCUUUUAAAAUUUGUUUUUUGUAAUUUUGAGCAAAACAUAAGUAGAAUUUUGACAAUGUAGGAAAAAUAAUUACUGAAAGUCGAUGACUUGAUUCGCUGUGGCAACCCCUUAAGGGAAGAAGGCAAAAGGAGAAGAAGAAUUACUAAAAGACAGUUAAAGGAAUUGUACAGUGGCUUACUGUAUGUAUACCCCAACUUAGCAAAACAGUAUCUGUGUUUCUAACAUGAAUAAUAAUGUAUUAUUUUGAUGUCUGACAGUUUGCUACUUUGUGGAACAAAUCAGACACAGAAGUGGUUAUUGCUGUGGUUCCCUCUCAAAAUAGAGGCUACAACUACACAGUCCGGCACAUUGACUUCAACACACUGAGAUCUCACAAGUGGCUGACAGGCGAGGUUUGUAAUCCUAAAAUAUCAGCAUGUUAAAUAAAUAUUAUGUAGCGACAGUUGUACUUAACUGCAGUUCUCUUCCAGCUUGAGUGUACAGUAGAUACCCAUGUGAUGCUGGUGUGAUUUGCCAUCGUUAUAAAAAUAUUUUUUUCUUAAAAUGGGUGUUGAAAUGCAUCCAGUGAUAUAUUCACUGCAAAGAAUGCCAUUUGUA